GCAGUCGAACGGCAGCGCGAGAAAGCUUGCUUUCUUGGCGGCGAGUGGCGAACGGGUGAGUAAUGUAUCGGAACGUGCCCAGUAGCGGGGGAUAACUGGCCGAAAGGUCAGCUAAUACCGCAUACGCCCUACGGGGGAAAGGGGGGGAUCGCAAGACCUCUCACUAUUGGAGCGGCCGAUAUCGGAUUAGCUAGUUGGUGGGGUAAAGGCCUACCAAGGCGACGAUCCGUAGCUGGUUUGAGAGGACGACCAGCCACACUGGGACUGAGACACGGCCCAGACUCCUACGGGAGGCAGCAGUGGGGAAUUUUGGACAAUGGGGGAAACCCUGAUCCAGCCAUCCCGCGUGUGCGAUGAAGGCCUUCGGGUUGUAAAGCACUUUUGGCAGGGAAGAAACAGCCUGGGCUAAUAUCCCGGGCGACUGACGGUACCUGCAGAAUAAGCACCGGCUAACUACGUGCCAGCAGCCGCGGUAAUACGUAGGGUGCAAGCGUUAAUCGGAAUUACUGGGCGUAAAGCGUGCGCAGGCGGUUCGGAAAGAAAGGUGUGAAAUCCCAGGGCUUAACCUUGGAACUGCACUUUUAACUACCGGGCUAGAGUACGUCAGAGGGGGGUAGAAUUCCACGUGUAGCAGUGAAAUGCGUAGAGAUGUGGAGGAAUACCGAUGGCGAAGGCAGCCC
rnacentral:rRNA from 1 species